rnacentral:rRNA from 1 species
ACGAACGCUGGCGGCGUGCUUAACACAUGCCAGUCGAACGGGAUUUAGUAAACAGACGCCUCGGUGGAAGAUUACUAAUGAGAGUGGCGAACGGGUGAGUAACGCGUGAGCAACCUGCCUAUGACAGUGGGAUAGCCUCGGGAAACCGGGAUUAAUACCGCAUAAAAUCGUAGAAACACAUGUUUUAACGGUCAAAGAUUUAUCGGUCAUAGAUGGGCUCGCGUCUGAUUAGCUAGUUGGUGAGAUAACAGCCCACCAAGGCGACGAUCAGUAGCCGGUCUGAGAGGAUGAACGGCCACAUUGGAACUGAGACACGGUCCAAACUCCUACGGGAGGCAGCAGUGGGGAAUAUUGCACAAUGGGGGAAACCCUGAUGCAGCGACGCCGCGUGAACGAAGAAGGUAUUCGUAUCGUAAAGUUCUGUCCUAUGGGAAGAUAAUGACAGUACCAUAGAAGAAAGCUCCGGCUAAAUACGUG